ensembl:misc_RNA Metazoa_SRP Metazoan signal recognition particle RNA
GCCGGGCGUGGUGGCUCAUGCCUGUAAUCCCAGCACUCUGGGAGGCCGAGGCGGGUGGAUCACCUGAGGUCAGGAGUUUGAAACCAGCCUGGCCAACAUGGUGAAACCCUGUCUCUA